rnacentral:rRNA from 1 species
UACGUAGGGGGCAAGCGUUGUCCGGAAUCAUUGGGCGUAAAGCGCGUGUAGGCGGUUCAGUAAGUCUGCUGUGAAAGUCGGGGGCUCAACCCUCGGAUGCCGGUGGAUACUGUCGGGCUAGAGUGCGGAAGAGGCGAGUGGAAUUCCUGGUGUAGCGGUGAAAUGCGCAGAUAUCAGGAGGAACACCAAUUGCGAAGGCAGCUCGCUGGGACGUUACUGACGCUGAGACGCGAAAGCGUGGGGAGCAAACAGG